rnacentral:rRNA from 1 species
GAUGAACGCUGGCGGCGUGCCUAAUACAUGCAAGUCGAGCGAACAGACGAGGAGCUUGCUCCUCUGACGUUAGCGGCGGACGGGUGAGUAACACGUGGAUAACCUACCUAUAAAACUGGGAUAACUUCGGGAAACCGGAGCUAAUACCGGAUAAUAUAUUGAACCGCAUGGUUCAAUAGUGAAAGACGGUUUUGCUGUCACUUAUAGAUGUAUCCGCGCCGCAUUAGCUAGUUGGUAAGGUAACGGCUUACCAAGGCAACGAUGCGUAGCCGACCUGAGAGGGUGAUCGGCCACACUGGAACUGAGACACGGUCCAGACUCCUACGGGAGGCAGCAGUAGGGAAUCUUCCGCAAUGGGCGAAAGCCUGACGGAGCAACGCCGCGUGAGUGAUGAAGGUCUUCGGAUCGUAAAACUCUGUUAUUAGGGAAGAACAAAUGUGUAAGUAACUAUGCACGUCUUGACGGUACCUAAUCAGAAAGCCACGGCUAACUACGUG